rnacentral:rRNA from 1 species
GAGAUAACUCCUACGGGAGGCAGCAGUGGGGAAUAUUGCACAAUGGGCGCAAGCCUGAUGCAGCGACGCCGCGUGCGGGAUGACGGCCUUCGGGUUGUAAACCGCUUUCAGCAGGGAAGAAGGGCCUCUUUUUGGAGGUUUGACGGUACUUGCAGAAGAAGCGCCGGCUAACUACGUGCCAGCAGCCGCGGUAAUACGUAGGGCGCGAGCGUUAUCCGGAAUUAUUGGGCGUAAAGAGCUUGUAGGCGGUUUGCCGCGUCUGCUGUGAAAGCCCGGGGCUUAACUCCGGGUGUGCAGUGGGUACGGGCAGGCUAGAGUGCAGUAGGGGAGACUGGAAUUCCUGGUGUAGCGGUGAAAUGCGCAGAUAUCAGGAGGAACACCGAUGGCGAAGGCAGGUCUCUGGGCUGUUACUGACGCUGAGAAGCGAAAGCAUGGGUAGCGAACAGGAUUAGAAACCCUUGUAGUCCUCCACU